CAGCAGCGUCUCUACUAAUAGCGAAACUUGGAAGAGGUCUGAGGGGGAAGCCUGUGAAGCCUUUAGCAGAUUUCUCAAAGUCAGCAGAAAUCAGGACUCUGCCAAAGAUCUCACCAUGCUGAAUGAUGCCAUGCUCCAGCAGUCUGCGUCCCAAAUGCUCAGCCUCCUCUCUGGAGGGCAUUUCACCUUCCUGUAGAAGCCAGUCUAUAAACUCGAA